UAUUGUUGUUGUAGAACUGCCACCACCUUAUCAAAAUAUUAGCCUUGCCCUGUGGCAUGGCAUAAUAAAGUGUGCACUGCCCUGUUGUUAAUAUUGUAUGUAAAAGUUUUUUAUAAAUAAAUUCAACAAUAAAGUAAUAAAAAGCAAAGUAAAAACGCAUAUAUUAAUUUAAAUCAGGUUGUUUUCUUUGUGGCCAUAUAGCUAUAGGAUUGUCCAUGAGUUAUCAAAUUUGAAAAAGCUACUAUGGAUUUGGACAUCAAGCAGAAGUUAAUCGAUACACUUUUGUCUGAUAAUAGUACUUUUGAAAUAAGUAACAAAAUUGUACAUAACUUAUCAACACAUUUUGCUUUCGAAUAUAAGUGGCAUGAGAUGGAAAAUAUAAUAAAAAUGUUUGUUUUGUAUUUUGAAAGUCAACUUUUAGAUAAAAAUGAAAACAGAUUUUUUCAACAAUUGAAUGAAACUGCUGCAAGAAUGCUAUAUGAUGAAUCAAUUAAUAUUAAAAAUGUAAUGCCACUAACAAUGUAUAUAUUAAGGUUCUCUACUUUUAUAAAAAUGGAGUUAUUUUUGAUAACAUAUUAAACUUUGCCAAGAAAUGUAA